GAACUCCUGGGCUCAAGCGAUCCGCCCACCUCGGUCUUCGAAAGUGCUGGGAUUCCAGGCGUGAGCCGCCGCGCCGGCCUUAACAGCGCAUUUUCACCAGCCCCGCCCCGGCCGCGCGCGGCACUGGAAACCCCAGCGCCUUCUGGACGGCGAGGGUGACGCACUGGCCCUCUUCCUCGGUGUCCUCAGGUGCGUGGCGGCGGCAGUGAGAAUGAGUUCUUCGAGAUCGCCGGGAGACCACACAAUAACGACGAAGUUACUUGCCGGGCUACCCGCCGAGACUUGAAAACUUCGCGGCGACUUCUCUCGCCGGCCUUAGCAUCGCCCCCAUUUUUCAGGUUACAGGACAGGCCUGCAACUGCAAAACGCUUUGUAAACCACAGGGCCCCGCGCGGGUGUGCGCCACUGGGUUAGCUGAGCUGCAGCCCGGGCCGGGCGGGCUGGGACGUGAGCAAGCCGGGGGAGACGGGAGAGCCAUGGGGAGCCAGAUCCCACCUUCGCGUGACCUUGGGCAAAUCACAACCUCGCCUAAGGCCCGGAAUGACUCUGCGCGGAGAGGAAGAGCACUGAGUGCGGGAGGGCAUCGACGUUUUGGUGCCCCCACUGGUCGCGUCCGGCGCUGGAGGAGCCCAGUCAGCCGGCGCCUGCCGGGUUAGCACGUGGACUCCGAGGGGCCAACUAUCAGCUUUCCCUGACAAAAUGCCUUUGAGCUCCCCCACAGCUCUGAAACUCCAGCUUGGGAGCAGGGAGAGUGCAAUCUGUGACCUGUAAAGGGGCGCUGGGCAAAAGGGCCCGAGAGAAGGCGUCCUUUCCAUUCCCUUCCCAUCUCAAGCUGAGUUCAGAAAUGACACGAAAUAAUUUAAUCAACUAUCAGUCAAGGUCGGGCUCACGCCUGUAAUCCCAGCAGUUUGGGAGGCCGAGGUGGGCGGAUCACCUGAGGACAGGAGUUCGAGACCAGCCUGACCAACAUGACGAAGCCCCGUCUCUACUAAAAAUACAAAAAUUAGCCAGCGGUGGUGGUGCGCACCUGUAGUCUCAGCUACUUGGGAGGCUGAGGCCAGAGAAUCGCUUGAGCCCGCGAGGUCGAGGCUGCAGUGAGCCGAGAUCACACCACUGCACUCCAACCUGGAUGACAGAGGGAGACUCUGUCUCAAAAAAUAAUAAAUAAAUAAAUAAAUAAAUAAACUAUCGGUCAAG
rnacentral:lncRNA from 1 species